rnacentral:rRNA from 1 species
GCGCCCACGGGGGGCAGCAGUGGGGAAUAUUGCACAAUGGGGGAAACCCUGAUGCAGCGACGCCGCGUGAAGGAAGAAGUAUUUCGGUAUGUAAACUUCUAUCAGCAGGGAAGAAAAUGACGGUACCUGACUAAGAAGCCCCGGCUAACUACGUGCCAGCAGCCGCGGUAAUACGUAGGGAGCAAGCGUUAUCCGGAUUUACUGGGUGUAAAGGGCGUGUAGGCGGGCCUGCAAGUCAGAAGUGAAAUCUGGGGGCUUAACCCCCAAACUGCUUUUGAAACUGUGGGUCUUGAGUGAUGGAGAGG